rnacentral:rRNA from 1 species
GUGUCAGCAGCCGCGGUAAUACAGAGGGUGCGAGCGUUAAUCGGAAUUACUGGGCGUAAAGCGAGUGUAGGUGGCUCAUUAAGUCACAUGUGAAAUCCCCGGGCUUAACCUGGGAACUGCAUGUGAUACUGGUGGUGCUAGAAUAUGUGAGAGGGAAGUAGAAUUCCAGGUGUAGCGGUGAAAUGCGUAGAGAUCUGGAGGAAUACCGAUGGCGAAGGCAGCUUCCUGGCAUAAUAUUGACACUGAGAUUCGAAAGCGUGGGUAGCAAACAGGAUUAGAUACCCUGGUAGUCCACGCCGUAAACGAUGUCUAAUAGCCGUUGGGGUCCUUGUGACUUUAGUGGCGCAGUUAGCGCGAUAAGUAGACCGCCUGGGGAGUACGGCCGCAAGGUUAAAACUUAAAUGAAUUGGCGGGG